rnacentral:rRNA from 1 species
UGGGGAAUCUUCCGCAAUGGACGAAAGUCUGACGGAGCAACGCCGCGUGAGUGAAGACGGCCUUCGGGUUGUAAAGUUCUGUUAUUCGGGAAGAACGAUUCGUUUGUGAACAAUGAACGGAAGUGACGGUACCGAAAGAGAAAGCCACGGCUAACUACGUGCCAGCAGCCGCGGUAAUACGAAGGUGGCAAGCGUUGUCCGGAAUUAUUGGGGGUAAAGAGCGCGUAGGCGGUAUGGUAAGUCUGUCUUAGAAGUGCGGGGCUUAACCCCGUGAGGGGACAGAGACUGUCAUAAUGGAGUCUCGGAGAGGAAAGCGGAAUUCCUAGUGUAGCGGUGAAAUGCGUAGAGAUUAGGAAGAACACCGGUGGCGAAGGCAGCUUUCUGGACGAGCACUGACGCUGAGGCGCGAAAGCGUGGGGAGCGAACAGG